GAUGAACGCUGGCGGCGUGCCUAAUACAUGCAAGUCGAGCGAACAGACGAGGAGCUUGCUCCUCUGACGUUAGCGGCGGACGGGUGAGUAACACGUGGAUAACCUACCUAUAAGACUGGGAUAACUUCGGGAAACCGGAGCUAAUACCGGAUAACAUGUUGAACCGCAUGGUUCAACAGUGAAAGACGGUCUUGCUGUCACUUAUAGAUGGAUCCGCGCCGCAUUAGCUAGUUGGUAAGGUAACGGCUUACCAAGGCAACGAUGCGUAGCCGACCUGAGAGGGUGAUCGGCCACACUGGAACUGAGACACGGUCCAGACUCCUACGGGAGGCAGCAGUAGGGAAUCUUCCGCAAUGGGCGAAAUCCUGACGGAGCAACGCCGCGUGAGUGAAGAAGGUCUUCGGAUCGUAAAACUCUGUUAUUAGGGAAGAACAAAUGUGUAAGUAACUAUGCACGUCUUGACGGUACCUAAUCAGAAAGCCACGGCCAACUACGUG
rnacentral:rRNA from 1 species